rnacentral:sRNA from 1 species
UAUCGCUGCCCUCCUUGGGCGUUCCUCCCUAGACUUGGGCCGCUUGCGGCAACGUAGGCGGCCCUUCUUUCUUAAGCGC